GACGAACGCUGGCGGCGUGCUUAACACAUGCAAGUCGAACGGAAAGGCCCUGCUUUUGUGGGGUGCUCGAGUGGCGAACGAGUGAGUAACACGUGAGUAACCUGCCCUUGACUUUGGGAUAACUUCAGGAAACUGGGGCUAAUACCGGAUAGGAGCUCCUGCUGCAUGGUGGGGGUUGGAAAGUUUCGGCGGUUGGGGAUGGACUCGCGGCUUAUCAGCUUGUUGGUGGGGUAGUGGCUUACCAAGGCUUUGACGGGUAGCCGGCCUGAGAGGGUGACCGGCCACAUUGGGACUGAGAUACGGCCCAGACUCCUACGGGAGGCAGCAGUGGGGAAUAUUGCACAAUGGGCGGAAGCCUGAUGCAGCAACGCCGCGUGCGGGAUGACGGCCUUCGGGUUGUAAACCGCUUUCGCCUGUGACGAAGCGUGAGUGACGGUAAUGUGUAAAGAAGCACCGGCUAACUACGUG
rnacentral:rRNA from 1 species